ACGGCCGCUAUUGCGAAGCUCGCGAGCACGGCGAUACGUCUAUUUUGGAUGUAGCCAGUUUUUUGGGCUCCUGACGUUCCCUUGUAUUCCGUCUGCAUUUCGACACGGCACCACUGCACUACUGGACUAUAGCAAGGAAAUCGUAAGAAGCCAGUGCAACAUGGACAACUCGUUGAGAGUGCAACUGCAGGGCGACAAUCAGCAACGAUGAGCCUCCAUGUGCACUGGAGGGUCGGGCCCCGGAGUGUGUGCUGUACAGCUGCGAACCAGUGUUGAUAACGAUUUAAAGCGGGAGAGGUCAACACUAAUAGCAACGCCACCAAAGAAAGCAGAACCCCCGUUUCUCCAGUGCAACUAUACAGUGGACCACAUCACCGCCACGGACAGAAACUAAUCUCGGGGACAGCGACACCCUCUGGAAUCGCCGCAUUGCUGUGCAUAGGCUGCUCUACUGAUGCUGGCCCAGAUAUCUGACAUCAGCCUCCACAGAAUUUACUAAGGUGGCCGGUGCGAGCUUGAGCUACACAGUAACAUUUGGUAGUGGUAGCAGUGCGACGCCCCUUGGAUGGACAGCGCUUGACGAAUCUCUCCUGCC